UACAGAGGGGGCAAGCGUUGUUCGGAUUCAUUGGGCGUAAAGGGUGCGUAGGUGGCGGGGUAAGUCAGGUGUGAAAUCUCUGAGCUUAACUCAGAAACUGCCAUGGAUACUAUUUGUCUUGAAUAUUGUGGAGGUAAGCGGAAUAUGUCAUGUAGCGGUGAAAUGCUUAGAUAUGACAUAGAACACCAAUUGCGAAGGCAGCUCGCUACACUACUAUUGACACUGAGGCACGAAAGCGUGGGGAUCAAACAGG
rnacentral:rRNA from 1 species